GAUGAACGCUGGCGGCGUGCCUAAUACAUGCAAGUCGAGCGAACAGAUAAAGAGCUUGCUCCUUUGACGUUAGCGGCGGACGGGUGAGUAACACGUGGGUAACCUACCUAUAAGACUGGAAUAACUCCGGGAAACCGGGGCUAAUGCCGGAUAACAUUUAGAACCGCAUGGUUCUAAAGUGAAAGAUGGUUUUGCUAUCACUUAUAGAUGGACCCGCGCCGUAUUAGCUAGUUGGUAAGGUAACGGCUUACCAAGGCAACGAUACGUAGCCGACCUGAGAGGGUGAUCGGCCACACUGGAACUGAGACACGGUCCAGACUCCUACGGGAGGCAGCAGUAGGGAAUCUUCCGCAAUGGGCGAAAGCCUGACGGAGCAACGCCGCGUGAGUGAUGAAGGUCUUCGGAUCGUAAAACUCUGUUAUUAGGGAAGAACAAAUGUGUAAGUAACUGUGCACGUCUUGACGGUACCUAAUCAGAAAGCCACGGCUAACUACGUG
rnacentral:rRNA from 1 species